AUUUAAAUAGUUUAAUAUAAAAUAUUGAUUUGUGGAGUCAAGGAUACAUGAAGUGUUUUAAAUU
rnacentral:tRNA from 1 species